UCUAGGUGAGUCUGUGUAAACAGCUCAUUGAUAACACCCUUAUAGCUUACUAGCCUUAGUUUUUCUUUACGAUCUCAUCUACGCUAUAAAUUCUGAAGACUUUAGCUAUACAGUUAAAUACAUGAUAUCAUAAUGCCAGACUGACUUUAAAAUAUCCUGUGACCUUACCACUUUUAACUAUUUAAAUCUGGAAAAAAUAAGCAUUUUCUCAUUUUGAAGAAAGGAGUUCUGCGGGUAAUGUGUGUUAAGGUUCUUAUUGAGAAUGUCUUAGAAAAAUGUGUAAAAA
rnacentral:lncRNA from 1 species